UCCCUGGUGGUCCAGUAGUUAAGACCCUGCACUUUCACUGCAAGGGGCACAGGUUUGAUCCCUGGUCUGGGAA
rnacentral:tRNA from 1 species